rnacentral:rRNA from 1 species
UACGUAGGGGGCUAGCGUUGUCCGGAAUCAUUGGGCGUAAAGAGCGUGUAGGCGGUCCGGUAAGUCCGCUGUGAAAGUCGGGGGCUCAACCCUCGAAUGCCGGUGGAUACUGGCGGGCUUGAAUUCGGGAGAGGGAUGUGGAAUUCCAGGUGUAGCGGUGAAAUGCGUAGAUAUCUGGAGGAACACCGGUGGCGAAGGCGGCAGUCCUGGACCGACAUUGACGCUGAGGCGCGAAAGCGUGGGGAGCAAACAGG